rnacentral:rRNA from 1 species
CGAAGGAUUCGAGCGUUAUCCGGAUUUAUUGGGUUUAAAGGGUGCGUAGGUGGAUUAAUAAGUCAGUGGUGAAAGCCCGGAGCUCAACUCUGGAACUGCCAUUGAUACUGUUAGUCUUGAGUACAGUUGAGGUGGGCGGAAUGUGUCAUGUAGCGGUGAAAUGCUUAGAUAUGACACAGAACACCGAUUGCGAAGGCAGCUCACUAAGCUGUAACUGACACUGAGGCACGAAAGUGUGGGUAGCAAACAGGAUUAGAUACCCUGGUAGUCCACACCCUAAACGAUGAUUACUCGUUGUUGGCGAUACACAGUCAGCGACUAAGCGAAAGCAUUAAGUAAUCCACCUGGGGAGUACGGUCGCAAGACUG